CCCCUAUAAAGAAUCUCCCUCUCGAUCCACUCGUCAGGUGUGCACACCACUGCCAUCCCCUCUCGGCCGGCUACGCUCACUCCUUCCCACCGCCUCUCGCGGGAUCCGCCGUUUCGCCUAAGGAAAUGGCUGCGCUGCAACCAUCCUUCUCAUCGUCGACGAUGGCUAUGAACAACAGCUGCGGCGCCAUCAAGUUCCCCAAAACUGCACUUCUGCCUGGUUUCGGUGGUAUUUCGCGCACUCAAGAUGCGCAGGACAGGAACGCUAGCCUCACUCUUUCAAGGCCCAAGGCUGCUUCAGUGACUGACCAGUCAGUAGCUGAGCCAGCAAAGCCUAGGCAGAAGAAACAGACGGUUGAUCCUGCCGCUCCAGAAUUUCUGCCGCUCCCAGCGUUUGAAGAAUGCUUUCCACGCAGCACCAAGGAAUCCAGUGAAAUUGUUCACGAGGAAUCAGGUCACUCCCUCAAGGUUCCGUUUCGGAGAAUCCAUUUGACUGGAGAUAGUGGGCACUUCGAUACGUAUGACACCAGUGGUCCCCAGAACAUAAGCCCAAGGAUUGGACUCCCAAAGAUAAGGAAAGAAUGGAUUGACAGGAGGGAGAAGUUAGGUAGUCCUCGAUACACGCAAAUGUACUAUGCUAAGCAGGGAAUCAUAACAGAGGAGAUGUUGUACUGUGCCAAACGUGAGAACCUCACUCCUGAAUUUGUCCGGUCUGAGGUCGCCCGUGGACGAGCUAUUAUUCCUUCCAACAAGAGGCACCUGGAAUUGGAACCCAUGAUUGUUGGCAGAAAUUUCCUGGUAAAGAUUAAUGCAAACAUUGGAAAUUCAGCUGUUGUGAGCUCCAUUGAGGAGGAAGUCCACAAGCUCCAGUGGGCCACAAUGUGGGGAGCUGAUACCGUCAUGGACCUUUCAACAGGGCGCCAUAUCCAUGAAACCCGUGAAUGGAUUAUUCGUAACUCUUCAGUUCCUAUUGGGACUGUUCCUAUUUACCAAGCACUUGAAAAGGUUAAUGGUAUUGCGGAAGAUUUGAGCUGGGAAGUCUUUAGAGAAACUUUAAUUGAACAGGCUGAGCAGGGUGUUGAUUAUUUCACCAUCCAUGCUGGUGUGUUGCUCCGUUAUAUUCCUCUUACAGCAAAAAGAAUGACUGGCAUUGUUUCUCGUGGUGGAUCAAUCCAUGCAAAGUGGUGCUUAACGUAUCACAAGGAGAACUUUGCUUAUGAGCAUUGGGAUGACAUUCUUGACAUAUGCAACCAGUAUGAUGUGGCAUUAUCAAUUGGUGAUGGUUUGAGGCCUGGUUCUAUUUAUGAUGCAAAUGACAGUGCUCAGUUUGCAGAACUGCUGACUCAAGGGGAGCUAACACGCCGAGCAUGGGAGAAAGAUGUGCAGGUAAUGAAUGAAGGUCCAGGGCAUAUUCCGAUGCAUAAAAUUCCUGAAAACAUGCAGAAACAGCUGGAGUGGUGCAAUGAAGCACCUUUCUAUACAUUGGGUCCUUUGACAACUGAUAUUGCACCUGGUUAUGAUCACAUCACCUCAGCCAUUGGUGCUGCCAAUAUUGGGGCUCUUGGCACUGCACUUCUUUGUUAUGUAACACCAAAGGAGCACCUUGGGUUGCCUAACCGUGAUGAUGUGAAGACAGGUGUUAUAUCCUAUAAAAUUGCUGCUCAUGCUGCUGAUUUGGCAAAGCGUCACCCCUACGCACAAGCAUGGGACGAUGCACUAAGCAAGGCAAGGUUUGAGUUUAGAUGGUUAGACCAGUUUGCUUUAUCUCUGGAUCCAGUAACUGCUAUGUCUUUCCAUGAUGAGACAUUACCAUCUGAUGGUGCCAAAGUAGCACAUUUCUGCUCGAUGUGUGGUCCCAAAUUUUGUUCGAUGAAAAUCACGGAGGAUAUAAGGAAGUAUGCUGAUGAACAUGGUUAUGGGACAGUAGAGGAAGCUGUGAGACAAGGAAUGAGUGAUAUGAGUGCUGAAUUUAUGGCUGCAAGGAAAACAAUUAGUGGCGAACAACAUGGUGAAGCUGGAGGGGAAAUCUAUGUUCCAGAAAGCUACCUAGCUAAAAAAUAAGAUCUCCUUGGCAGCAUCUGUUCCAGGUGAUGCAGAUCUGAUGGCUAGGCUGUUUGUCAACAGCACUUCUACCAUCCUUUGUUAGGAGGUGGGGUGCCUGUAUUCUCAACGAUCUGAAGGGCCCUUGGCCUGGAUUGUUGUGAUAUGGGCUGAGAAAGUCCCUUUGAACCUGAUCAGGAUAAUGCCUGCGAAGGGAGUGUGCAUUUCUAUUUUCAUGUUUCCCAGGACACACCCAAUCCUCAACCUUUCGGAAAUCGAGGGAUCAUAUUUUCCUGAAUGUCUGGAGCGCACCAACUGGAUAUGCAUUUUUCUUACCUCGGAGGUUACAUGGUAAUGUAUAUGAUUUCUUGAACCUGUUUGCAUAUUGGCAUUUUUCCCGGAGAGAAUCUUAGGUAUUUAUCAUGGCAUGCAUGUAAUUUAGUCAUGUGUGUGAUCAAUAGUCAAACUACAGUGUGCCCGCUACAUCUUGCAAAGCAUUCACCAUGUCCUAUAUAAUCUACUUUUACAUCUAUCCAUCUAUAUCUUUCAUACUAGAAGUAUGCAAACUCUGGCUGGACUCCGAGUGUCAUACAUAUUGGAAAUUUUAGUCGCGUGCUAACUGCCAUUUGUAGAACAAAGGUACUAAUAAAAUUUGGCUCGACUUGAUUAUUUGAAAUGUGUCUAUUAGGAAUUGAUUUUUAGAAUGGCUAAGUUACAGUUUUAUCAUCAACUAUCCUUUUGUGUUUCCCAUUGGAAUUAUCAAAUGUAGCAAGUGCAUCAUAGGUUCAGUACACCAUUGUUUCUCCAUGGACAGUUAAUUCAUGUUAAUCUUUCAUGCAUAAAACUGUGUACAUUGUAGAACUUGGCAGUAUUUUUUAGUGCUCGAAUGGUUUAUAGCCACAAAUCUCCUCCCAUAAGUUAAGGCGUUCCACAUGCUUAGUUCUCGAUGUCAGUUAAGCACACUACAGAAAUACAUAUCUAUCAGCCAUACAAGCGUGGCAAAAAAAAAACUCCCUACAUAAGUCUGUGGUAGGUAUCAAUUCGAAAAGUGUCUUUGUCUCCCACGAUCUAGUGAUCCCUUCACCCUAAAAUAUUCAAAAACCAUAUUUACAAGUUCAAAAAAAUCUGAACAUAGAAAAUGAUGUAUCCCACAAGCAUGCAAAAUCGCAAUGAGAAAUUCUUUAUAUUGUGGGCUAUGUAAAAAAUAAAAAAAAUCUGAUAAAAGUUGGAGAUUUGAAAAUAUGCAUGCUCAAAUCCACUCUUUUUUCAUUUUUGUGUAGGUCAGAAACAAAAUAUGUGAAUUGAUAUUUUCCACGUUUGUGGGAUACAUCAUUUGGCUACAUCCGGAUUUUUUUUUCAUUUUUUUGAAUCUCGUAAAUAUUGUUUUGGAUUUUAUUUUCUAGAAAAAAUAACAGGAUCACUGGAGCUGGGACCCAAAAAUCUCCGCUCCUAUCAACUAUCUAUCAAUCAUAGGGCCCCAUACUCCUUGCGACGUCACUUUUUGUAUCAGUGGAGAACGUAACUUUAUGUUUACCUUUGGUCAUUUAGGCACAUGUUUCAUAGUUGACUUCGUUGCCACUCUACCAUUUUGGUUCAUGAUCCAAAUACCUUUGCUGACACGAAACAUCGAGAGACAUAUGGGUGAAAUAUGUCAGAAAGGUGCUAGUGUCUGGGGUCUUUCUAGAGAUGACAAAGAGCUUCGUUUCUGUUCUGAUUGUGCACGUUUUAUGUGAUGUUGCGGCCUGUGGGUUUGUGGCUCCGGUUAUCACACUGUUCUUAUUUCGUCUUUGAAGUUAUGUACUUAUGUUCACUGUAUAAAUGAACUCCUUACAAGUUCAGAUGUCAACUUGUAAACAAUUCUUUGUCUUAUACAUGCUGGUAUAUGUCUUGCUUA